rnacentral:misc_RNA from 1 species
GUACAUGUUAUUCUAAGCUUAUAUCAUCAGCUGCGCGUUCACAAUUAACAACAUACUCUCAUUCGAAUGAUGAAACUCCAUUUCGAUCAAAGAACAAACCAGACGGACCGUCAUCAGGCUGUAGAGCAAGCCUUACAGGACUCUCCGCGCCUUCUUCAAUAGACAAUAUCCCACUAUUGAAAUUGAUAUCUGUUUUCACAAAACCAGGACAGACACAAUUGAUCUGUAUAGACGGAUGCUUCUUUGCCAUGACCCUCGAGUAAGCGUUCAUUGCUGCUUUAGAGACUAUGUAAGCUGACAUUAAAGAAGGCCAGCCUUUGGCUUGAAGUGAAUCUUCUUUGAAAUCCUUCAGAUAUUGAUUUAUCACCUCUUCUAUUUUCUCUUCUGUCAGGUUUUCGCUGUCAUUUAAUACUCCAGUAGCCCAUUCAUGUUUCAAGUUCUUUAGCUUUCCCAUAGAGGAUGAUACAUUCACAAUCCUCGGCGACUUAGAUAAUUGGAGGAGUGGAAUACAUGCUUCAGUCAUUUUCUUCGCACCAUAAUAGUUUGUCUCAAGACACUCCUUUGCCAACUCAAAUGACUGACUCAAUAUUUCAUUCCAAUUGACUUGAGAUCCUCCUGUCCCACUGGACUCUCGUUUAGCUCUUAAGGCAUCAGCAUCAGCACUGACUCCAGCUAUUCCUGCAUUGUUCACCAAGAUAUCAAGCCUGCCAAAUUUUGUCUUAAUAAAUUCAGCCAAAGAAUCAAUACUAGAAUUAUCCACAACAUCAAGCUGAUGAAACACCACAUUUUCAGCCAAACCAAAGCCUUUAAGUUUCUCCAAAGCUUCAAUCCCUCUCUUCUCAUUUCUAGCACCCAAAAUUACCAACACUCCAUUAGAAGCUAGCUGUCUACAUAUUUCAAAUCCAAUCCCUUUAUUUGCCCCUGUAACUACUGCAUACUUUGUUGCUCUGCCU